rnacentral:rRNA from 1 species
UAAUACAGAGGGGGCAAGCGUUGUCCGGACUUACUGGGCGUAAAGGGUGCGCAGGCGGUCUGAUGCGUCGUCGCUGAAAGCUCUCGGCUCAACUGAGAGAGGCGUGGCGAUACGAUCAGACUCGAGUCUCUGAGAGGGUGGCGGAACUCCUGGUGUAGUGGUGAAAUGCGUAGAGAUCAGGAAGAACACCCGUGGCGCAAGCGGCCACCUGGCAGAGCACUGACGCUGAGGCACGAAAGCGUGGGUAGCGAACCGGAUUAGAUACCCGGGUAGUCCACGCCGUAAACGAUGUCGACUAGGGGUGUGGUUGCCGUUAUGGCGACUGCGUCCCGCAGCUCACGCGGAAGUCGACCGCCUGGGGACUACGAGCGCAAGCUUA